AACGUAGGAGGCAAGCGUUGUCCGGAAUUAUUGGGCGUAAAGAGCUCGUAGGCGGUGUGUCACGUCGGCCGUGAAAACCUGCAGCUUAACUGUGGGCGUGCGGUCGAUACGGGCAUCACUGGAGUUCGGCAGGGGAGACUGGAAUUCCUGGUGUAGCGGUGAAAUGCGCAGAUAUCAGGAGGAACACCGGUGGCGAAGGCGGGUCUCUGGGCCGAUACUGACGCUGAGGAGCGAAAGCAUGGGGGAGCGAACAGG
rnacentral:rRNA from 1 species